CUACCUAGCCACAUGUCACUCAUGCAACCUGCCUUGAAAACUCGCCCCCAGCCACAACCGUUAGAUCGCCACUCUUUUAAUCUUCGUCUUUAAAUCCUUACCAGUAGCAUUUCCUGAGUCUUCACAAAUCCUUACAGCUUUGACUUCGAGUUCUUCGACUCAUUGGGCGUUGGCAGACUCAGACUGAGGAGUUCAUCAAAUUUAUGUGGUUGAUGGAGCAACGGUCCUGAGAAUUCAAUGUGGCCACCUCUGCUUUUGCCACCCUAACGAAUUGUUAGAAGAGCAAUGAGAUUCUUCAGUCCAACACAUGAAGAAAAUUAAGAAAUGAUAGAAAACACAUGUCAGUUGAGUUCAAUUACAGCAUUGGAUUUCGGGCUCAAUGCAUCUGUUUCUCCUAUUUGACUAAAUACUGGUGAUACGUCAGGAGAAUGGUAUGUCUCAGACGAGUCGAAAGAAUCCGGCCGGUCAAGGUGGCGUUGCUGCCUCUUCAUUGCAAACUUGGCACUCUCGAUGGAAUUGGCAACAGCCCUGCAUAAAAGAUCAUUCUCUUUUUUGGUUACGUAAGAUGAUUUUGCAAAGUAUGGAUCUAAUGCACUGAUUUUGCUCUUUGAUCCGUCUGAUAUUGUGGAUGUAGCGUCCUCCUUUCGCCUUUUUGCCCACGUAAACCCGGUUGAUCCUGAGACUUGUGCCGGGCCUGAAUAUCCACUGUCCCCUUGAGAAGGAUUUAUCAUUUGGGAAGUCUCUGACAUUGUAUCAAGUGAUGGCUUUAGUGCCUCUCCACGCACAAAAACACCUCUUCGUUUGGGAAUAUGUGCAUCACUGCCAUUGCUUCUCUGAGCAAGUUGAGCAUGAUCUUGCGUUUCCUGCAUAAAAAAGGACCAACAAAAGUGGUUAAAGAAACCAUCUUUCUUCCUUCAACUACACACCCACGUAGAGAAAGAGAGAGAUAGACCUCUUUUGAUGCUAAUUUACUGUUACUGUUUGCUUCUUGCAAAGUUUUCCGGACUCUUCUAGGCUUUCUUGAAGCUGCAGGCUCUCGCAAUCUAGCACCAGCCUUUUUCCUGGGGCAUACUUUGGCAAGCUUGAUGGCUCACAUGCAAAGGGCUUUGUGUUGAAAUACUGAAAAACAGAAGCAGGACGUAGACAUCAAAUCAGAAAGCCAAAAAACAUUACGGGUUUUAUCUGCAACAAGCAUGCACCACAAGAUGAUAUGAUAAAAAUGUGGUAGAAUCACAACUAAUCCCAACAAAAAGAUCUUCAAACAGAUUGUUGAACUUUGAAUUAAUAUAAGUUGUUACCUCAGAC